GACGAACGCUGGCGGUGUGCUUAACACAUGCAAGUCGAACGGUAAGGCCCUUUCAGGGGUACACGAGUGGCGAACGGGUGAGUAACACGUGAGUAACCUGCCCUCAUCUAUGGGAUAACAGUCGGAAACGGUUGCUAAUACUGGAUAUGAGCUUGCAAGGCAUCUUGUGGGUUGGAAAGAUUUUUUUGGUUGGGGAUGGACUCGCGGCCUAUCAGCUUGUUGGUGAGGUAGUGGCUCACCAAGGCUUCGACGGGUAGCCGGCCUGAGAGGGCGACCGGCCACAUUGGGACUGAGAUACGGCCCAAACUCCUACGGGAGGCAGCAGUGGGGAAUAUUGCACAAUGGACGGAAGUCUGAUGCAGCAACGCCGCGUGCGGGAUGACGGCCUUCGGGUUGUAAACCGCUUUCAAUUGUGACGAAGCUUUUUGUGACGGUAGCAGUAGAAGAAGCACCGGCUAACUACGUG
rnacentral:rRNA from 1 species